rnacentral:rRNA from 1 species
GACGUCAAAUCAUCAUGCCCCUUAGGCUUAGGGCUACACACGUGCUACAAUGGGUAGUACAGAGGGUUGCCAAGCCGUAAGGUGGAGCUAAUCCCUUAAAGCUACUCUCAGUUCGGAUUGUAGGCUGAAACUCGCCUACAUGAAGCUGGAGUUACUAGUAAUCGCAGAUCAGAAUGCUGCGGUGAAUGCGUUCCCGGGUCUUGUACACAC